GAAAGAUGUCACCCAGGAUUCUGGUGUGGUGCGUGGGUUCAUCAAUGGUGAGUCCGUCCCUGGCAGCCAUCGUGCUGCAUUCUUUGAUGUCGCCGGGCCGAGAGGACGUAGCUGCUGUCUUGCUGUUGGAUCUUGGACGACCUUGAGCAUGAGGUGUCCAGCAAGCCUGCAUAGAAAUCAAGUACCACGUGAAGGCAGUGACACACGGGAAGAAGCAUUGGAGCUGUACCAAGACAUGCGAUGGUGCUGUAUCAUAUGCUUCUUAUACAAUUCCCUUAGGUUGGGAAUAAUGUCGCCCAGUGCUUAAACGCAGCACACAUGGUUUUGUUGUGGCACCUGAGUUCACUGUCGAUGACUCCGUCCCCGGCUGCUAUCCUGCUGAUCGUCCGUGGAUGCCCUCCAGCAUGAGGUGUCCAGCAUGGCCUACAUCACAUGAUCACAAUCAAGUAAAGCGUUGAGGUUGGAGAAAAUAAAGAAUUCCGUCAGAAGUAUUGGUAGCAAAAUUUUGUGUAUUGAGGCAAGUGUGGAUGUACCCUACACAUGAGUAGAGACCACUUGUCUGCGACAAGAUCCAGCAUUUGCACGUGUUUCCUGUAGUUUGCAGCUGCUUAGAGCUGGUAUGGCCAUUGUGCUGUGAGCUGUACCCUUCAUAUUUCGUUUGUGAUGUAACCGCGUGGUGCGGUGCAAAGCACUCCGUUUCGACAUCAAGUGGCGUGCUUUCUGUGAAACAUCUCUUUGUCUGAUUGCAGAUUUGGAAAUCAUAUAAGUCAAGUAGCUAGCUUUCAUUGGAGGGAAGGGAGGUGAACAUGAGGCAAAACCUCUCUCGAGGUCGCCUUGCUUACCUUCCUCAUCCUUGUGGCGCUUCCGUUCUUCGUUUUUCUUUGGAUUCUUUUCUUUUCUUUUUAGUGAAAUUUUCAUGCAUUUGUAUGCAUGUUUCUUAGGGUGUUGGAUUUGGGUCUUCAUUCUAUUGGCCAUCGUUUCGGCGAAAGUUUGGCCCCUGCCUUGCUCUUCAUGAUGGAAGCGUUUCUAUCCCUUCUCUGUUCUCCAACAUAAGUUAUCUGCAACCUUCUUAUUUGCAGAUUCUGUAGUCAUAGCUCUUCGGCUUCUUGGUUCUUCAUAUUUAUGUGUAGGGCUUUUAAGACCGCAGUAGGUGCAUUAGAUGUUUGUUUAUUUCUUUUAAGAAAAUGAACUUUUGGGUUAUUUUCAGGGAAAUAUAAGUUUCCAAGUUUUUGGAGAGGUUUUUGUGGGCUCUGAUUUCCAAUCUGCUGGAAAAGAAGUAAUUUUUUUUAUGUUCAUUCUAUCUUUUUUGC